CCUACGGGCGGCAGCAGUGGGGAAUAUUGCACAAUGGGGGAAACCCUGAUGCAGCGACGCCGCGUGAGUGAAGAAGUAAUUCGUUACGUAAAGCUCUAUCAGCAGGGAAGAAAAUGACGGUACCUGAGUAAGAAGCCCCGGCUAACUACGUGCCAGCAGCCGCGGUAAUACGUAGGGGGCAAGCGUUAUCCGGAUUUACUGGGUGUAAAGGGAGCGUAGACGGUGCGGCAAGUCUGGAGUGAAAGGCCGGAGCUUAACUGCGGGACUGCUUUGGAAACUGGCGAACUGGAGUGCGGGAGGGGUAAGCGGAAUUCCUAGUGUAGCGGUGAAAUGCGUAGAUAUUAGGAGGAACACCGGUGGCGAAGGCGGCUUACUGGACUGUAACUGACGUUGAGGCUCGAAAGCGUGGGGAGCAAACAGGAUUAGAUACCCGAGUAGUC
rnacentral:rRNA from 1 species